UUCAGAAGUGUCGGAGGAAUAUGAAUCUUAUCCGAAUAAAUUUGACACUUGUGACAUUUCUUCACAUACUUGCAACAGUCAGACUCCAUUGUCAGCCAUAGUAGCCUGCUCUCAACUCUUCUUAGCCAUGGCAUGUCCAUUGGAAUGAGUACCAAAUGAACCCUCAUGGACCUCAGUCAUCAAUAGGUUUGCUUCGUGUCUAUCCACGCAUCUGAGCAAAACAUAUCAAAAUUUCUCUUAUACAGCACUUCACCACUGAGGUAGAAACUGC
rnacentral:lncRNA from 1 species